UUUUUGCUGCUCCACAAAUUUUAGUUGAUCAAAGAGCUUUCUGCAAAUUCCAUUUUAUAGAGAGAGAGAGAAAGAGAUGGUUAAAGCAAUGAACAGACAGAGGGUUCUGCUGCAGCAUUUGAGACCCAAUUCUUCUGUUUCUUCUUCCAAUUAUGAAUCUGCUCCUCUUUCCCCUUCAAUAUGUGCAGAUGGAGAUAUAGUGCUGCUGCCUACCAUAGAACAGCUUCUUUUGGAGACGAUGUAGUGAUUGUGGCGGCGUAUCGGACUGCCAUUUGCAAGGCAAAGCGAGGCGGUUUUAAGGACACUCUACCGAUGAUUUACUGGCACCUGUUUUAAAGGUUUGGUACAAUUCCUGAAUUCCCAACUCAAUUCCGGAGGAAUGAAUGUGUUUCUUCAAAUUAUGAAUGUAUCUGCACUGUCCCUAUGAAGCCGAGUUUGAAUC